rnacentral:rRNA from 1 species
UACAGAGGUCUCAAGCGUUGUUCGGAUUCAUUGGGCGUAAAGGGAGCGUAGGCGGCUUUAUAAGUCGGGGGUGAAAGCCUGUGGCUCAACCACAGAAUUGCCUUCGAUACUGUAGAGCUUGAGACCGGAAGAGGUAAGUGGAACUGCGAGUGUAGAGGUGAAAUUCGUAGAUAUUCGCAAGAACACCAGUGGCGAAGGCGGCUUACUGGUCCGGUUCUGACGCUGAGGCGCGAAAGCGUGGGGAGCAAACAGG